UACGUAGGGUGCAAGCGUUGUCCGGAAUUAUUGGGCGUAAAGAGCUCGUAGGCGGUCUGUCGCGUCUGCUGUGAAAAUCCAGGGCUCAACCCUGGACCUGCAGUGGGUACGGGCAAACUAGAGUGCGGUAGGGGAGAUCGGAAUUCCUGGUGUAGCGGUGAAAUGCGCAGAUAUCAGGAGGAACACCGGUGGCGAAGGCGGAUCUCUGGGCCGUAACUGACGCUGAGGAGCGAAAGCAUGGGGAGCGAACAGG
rnacentral:rRNA from 1 species